rnacentral:rRNA from 1 species
GUGCCAGCAGCCGCGGUAAUACGUGGGGGGCAAGCGUUAUCCGGAUUUACUGGGUGUAAAGGGAGCGUAGACGGCAAGACAAGUCAGAAGUGAAACCCUAUCGCUCAACGAUAGGCAUGCUUUUGAAACUGUGAUGCUAGAGUGUAGGAGAGGUAAGUGGAAUUCCUAGUGUAGCGGUGAAAUGCGUAAAGAUUAGGAGGAACACCAGUGGCGAAGGCGGCUUACUGGACUGUAACUGACGUUGAGGCUCGAAAGCGUGGGGAGCAAACAGGAUUAGAUACCCUGGUAGUCCACGCGGUAAACGAUGAAUACUAGGUGUUGGGGUCCAAAGGACUUCGGUGCCGUAGCAAACGCAAUAAGUAUUCCACCUGGGGAGUACGUUCGCAAGAAUGAAACUCAAAGGUAUUGACGGGGACCCGCACAAGCGGUGGAGCAUGUGGUUUUAUUCGAAGCAACGCGAAGAACCUUACCAGGUCUUGACAUCUCCCUGACAGCACUUGUAAUGAGUGUUACCUUCGGGACAGAGAAGACAGGUGGUGCAUGGUUGUCGUCGGCUCGUGUCGUGAGAUGUUGGGUUAAGUCCCGCAACGAGCGCAACCCUUAUGAUCAGUAGCCAGCAGGUAAAGCUGGGAACUCUGAUGAGACUGCCGAGGAGAACUCGGAGGAAGGUGGGGAUGACGUCAAUCAUCAUGCCCCUUAUGAUCUGGGGCUACACACGUGCUACAAUGGCAGAAACAAAGAGAAAGCGAAGCCGUGAGGUGAAGCAAAUCUCAGAACAUCCGUCUCAGUUCGGAUUGUAGUCUGCAACUCGACUACAUGAAGCUGGAAUCGCUAGUAAUCGCAAAUCAGCAUGUU